rnacentral:rRNA from 1 species
UACGUAGGUGGCAAGCGUUAUCCGGAAUUACUGGGCGUAAAGCGCACGCAGGCGGUCUUUCAAGUUCGACGUGAAAGCUCUCGGCUUAACUGGGAGAGGUCGUUGAAGACUGAAAGGCUUGAGGCAAUGAGAGGGGUGUAGAAUUCCCGGUGUAGUGGUGGAAUGCGUAGAUAUCGAGAGGAACACCUGCGGCGAAGGCGGGUUGCUGGGCCGACACUGACGCUGACAGCGCGAAAGCUAGGGGAGCAAACAGG